rnacentral:rRNA from 1 species
GAAUGGCAUCACGAGGGUUAAACUGUCUCCCUCUUUUAAUCAGUGAAACUGAUCUCCCCGUGAAGAAGCGGGGAUAUUUAUAUAAGACGAGAAGACCCCAUGGAGCUUUAAACUUAACACUACCUGCCAGCCCACAUACCUAAUCAAACAAGCAGAAUUAGAAGUUAGUUUUCGGUUGGGGUGACCGCGGAGCAAAACAAAACCUCCACGAUGAGUGACUUCUCAAUCAAAGAGCUACAACUCGAAGAAUCAACAAACUGACAUAAAUUGACCCAAUAUUACUUUGAUCAACGAACCAAGUUACCCUGGGGAUAACAGCGCAAUCCAUUUCAAGAGCUCCUAUCGACAAAUGG